rnacentral:rRNA from 1 species
AUUGAACGCUGGCGGCAUGCUUUACACAUGCAAGUCGAACGGUAACAGGCCGCAAGGUGCUGACGAGUGGCGAACGGGUGAGUAAUGCAUCGGAACGUGCCCAGUCGUGGGGGAUAACGCAGCGAAAGCUGCGCUAAUACCGCAUACGAUCUAUGGAUGAAAGCGGGGGACCUGUAAGGGCCUCGCGCGAUUGGAGCGGCCGAUGUCAGAUUAGGUAGUUGGUGGGGUAAAGGCUCACCAAGCCGACGAUCUGUAGCUAGUCUGAGAGGACGACCAGCCACACUGGGACUGAGACACGGCCCAGACUCCUACGGGAGGGAGCAGUGGGGAAUUUUGGACAAUGCGCGCAAGCCUGAUCCAGCAAUGCCGCGUGCAGGAAGAAGGCCUUCGGGUUGUAAACUGCUUUUGUACGGAACGAAACGGCUCUGGUUAAUACCUGGGGCUAAUGACGGUACCGUAAGAAUAAGCACCGGCUAACUACGUGCCAGCAGCCGCAGUAA